rnacentral:rRNA from 1 species
CGCCCGCUCCAGAAACCUCAAAGGAAUUAGACGGGGGCCGCACAAGCGGUGAGCAUGUGGUUUAAUUCGAUGAUACGCGAGGAACCUUACCUGGGCUCAAAUGUAUGUUGACGUAUUCUGAAAGGGAUACUUCUUCGGACAAUAUACAAGGUGCUGCAUGGUUGUCGUCAGCUCGUGCCGUGAGGUGUCGGGUUAAGUCCCAUAACGAGCGCAACCCCUAUCAUUAGUUGCCAUCAGGUUAAGCUGGGGACUCUAAAGGAACUGCCUACGCAAGUAGUGAGGAAGGCGGGGAUGACGUCAAAUCAGCACGGCCCUUACGUCCAGGGCUACACACGUGCUACAAUGGCCGAUACAGAGGGCAGCUACCUGGUGACAGGAUGCAAAUCUCCAAAGUCGGUCUCAGUUCGGAUCGGAGUCUGCAACCCGACUCCGUGAAGUUGGAUUCGCUAGUAAUCGCGCAUCAGCCAUGGCGCGGUGAAUACGUUCCCGGGCCUU